rnacentral:rRNA from 1 species
AUCAUUACCGAGUGCGGGCCCUCUGGGUCCAACCUCCCAUCCGUGUCUAUCUGUACCCUGUUGCUUCGGCGUGGCCACGGCCCGCCGGAGACUAACAUUUGAACGCUGCCUGAAGUUUGCAGUCUGAGUUUUUAGUUAAACAAUCGUUAAAACUUUCAACAACGGAUCUCUUGGUUCCGGCAUCGAUGAAGAACGCAGCGAAAUGCGAUAAUUAAUGUGAAUUGCAGAAUUCAGUGAAUCAUCGAGUCUUUGAACGCACAUUGCGCCCUCUGGUAUUCCGGGGGGCAUGCCUGUCCGAGCGUCAUUGCUGCCCUCAAGCACGGCUUGUGUGUUGGGCCCCCGUCCCGGUUAAGCAUCAGCCCCGGGACGGGCCCGAAAGGCAGCGGCGGCACCGUGUCCGGUCCUCGAGCGUAUGGGGCUCUGUCACCCGCUCGUGUAGGUCCGGCCGGCGGCCAGCCCGACCCUUUAACCAAUCUUUUAACCAGGUUGACCUCGGAUCAGGUAGGGAUACCCGCUGAACUUAAGCAUAUCAAUAAGCGGAGGA